CCUACGGGCGGCAGCAGUGAGGGAUAUUGGUCAAUGGGCGCAAGCCUGAACCAGCCAAGUCGCGUGAGGGAAGACGGCCCUACGGGUUGUAAACCUCUUUUGCCGGGGAGCAAGCCUGAGCACGUGUGCCCAGGCGGAGAGUACCCGGAGAAAAAGCAUCGGCUAACUCCGUGCCAGCAGCCGCGGUAAUCAGGAGGAUGCGAGCGUUAUACGGAAUUAGUGGGUUUAAAGGGUGCGUGGGCGGAUUUAUAAGUUAGAGGUGAAAUGUCCGAGCUUAACUCGGGAACUGCCUCUAAUACUGUUGAUCUAGAGAGUAGAUGCGGUAGGCGGAAUGUAUGGUGUAGCGGUGAAAUGCUUAGAGAUCAUACAGAACACCGAUUGCGAAGGCAGCUUACCAAUCUAUAUCUGACGUUGAGGCACGAAAGCGUGGGGAGCAAACAGGAUUAGAUACCCCAGUAGUC
rnacentral:rRNA from 1 species